AUGUUGGACUGGGCGACAAGAUUCCGUAUAAUCAAAGGGAUUGCAAGGGGACUUCUAUAUCUUCACGAAGACUCGAGGUUCACCAUAAUUCAUAGAGAUCUGAAAGCUGGAAAUGUUCUGCUCGAUGCAAAUUUGAAACCCAAGAUAGCUGAUUUUGGUAUGGCGAGGAUCUUUGGCGAUAAUGAGAAAAAUGCAAAUACCCAACGCAUUUUUGGAACAUAUGGCUACAUGGCUCCUGAGUAUGCAAUGGAAGGAGUCUUCUCUACCAAGUCCGACGUGUACAGUUUCGGCGUGUUACUACUGGAGGUUGUAACUGGUAUAAUUAAGGAGAAACUCCAUUAG
rnacentral:rRNA from 1 species